rnacentral:rRNA from 1 species
AGGGUGCGAGCGUUAAUCGGAAUUACUGGGCGUAAAGUGUGCGCAGGCGGCCGAGCAAGUCGAGUGUGAAAUCUCCGGGCUUAACCCGGAAAGGUCAGCCGAUACUGCGGGGCUAGAGUGCAGAAGGGGCAACUGGAAUUCUCGGUGUAGCGGUGAAAUGCGUAGAUAUCGAGAGGAACACCUGCGGCGAAGGCGGGUUGCUGGGCUGACACUGACGCUGAGGCGCGAAAGCUAGGGGAGCGAACGGG